rnacentral:lncRNA from 1 species
AUUAGUUUUCAUGAAGAAAAAGAAUACCAAGUGACUAUUGCAGGCAAUUUAUUUAUUAAGAUUGAAAAAGUUUUGCAUGCCAAAAUAGCUAUCAAAUUUAACAGAGUUAACUAACCACAAUUAUAUUGAUUUCGACGAAAUCAUGUAAUACAUAACCUUUUAACAGAUUACAUAUUUCGUAGGAAAACUAGGAAAGCAAGUUCACAUUUACAAAUAUUUAUCAGUUAUUAACAGUAAAAACCUUUAGAAAAAAUGGAAAAUCAAUACUAUUUAAAAAAGACACAAAUCAUAAAAAUUUAUACUGAAAACAUGGAACUAUAUUAUUUAAAAUAUGUCCAAGAGAGAUUUGGACCAAUUAAGUAUUUAUUAAAAAAAAACUAUAUUUCAAUAGCUAAUUAGUCAAAUAUAUAUGUCUAAACAUGACACAUACAGUAGAUAGCUUACAAAUGACUGAUUGUUGAUAUUUAACUUGUCCCCUCAGCUCUGAAUUGUCACUUCUGAGAUGGCUAUAUAGAAAUAAAUGAUAAAAAUGUUGACACUAAAAAUGUGUUACAACUUUUUAAAUUGUUCAAAUGUGUUAUAAUCUUUAUUGUUUAGUUAUUCAUGCCUUACAGUUAUGGAUAUAUAGAACAGCAGGUGUUAUAGGGAAAUAAUACUAAUUGUACAUUUCCUGGAAUACUUUUGGACCCAUGAUUGUUGAUAAAUUACUCGUCAGCAAAUUUUACUAUAAUAACAAACAUAAUCAUUUCAGUUUAAAGGGUUAUGUUUUUUUUGUAAGUUUCUUGCUAGAAUCUUAGAACUAUUAUGUUUUUUUAAAUGACUUGAUGGUUAUUUUAUGUGGAUUAAAAAAACAAUAAGGAGAUUUUUUUUUAGAUUUAUCAUGAUGGAAAAAUGAGUAUGCAUAAUACAACAAAUGUUAUUUUCUGAAAUCAUGUCUUCUGGGCUUCUAUCAUAAUAUCAUACCAUGCUAGUAGUUAUUUUGA